rnacentral:rRNA from 1 species
AUUGAACGCUGGCGGCAUGCCUUACACAUGCAAGUCGAACGGUAACAGGUCUUCGGAUGCUGACGAGUGGCGAACGGGUGAGUAAUACAUCGGAACGUGCCCGAUCGUGGGGGAUAACGCAGCGAAAGCUGUGCUAAUACCGCAUACGAUCUACGGAUGAAAAGCGGGGGAUCGCAAGACCUCGCGCGGACGGAGCGGCCGAUGGCAGAUUAGGUAGUUGGUGGGAUAAAAGCUUACCAAGCCGACGAUCUGUAGCUGGUCUGAGAGGACGACCAGCCACACUGGGACUGAGACACGGUCCAGACUCCUACGGGAGGCAGCAGUGGGGAAUUUUGGACAAUGGGCGAAAGCCUGAUCCAGCCAUUCCGCGUGCAGGAUGAAGGCCCUCGGGUUGUAAACUGCUUUUGUACGGAACGAAAAGGCUCUUGCUAAUACCAGGAGUCCAUGACGGUACCGUAAGAAUAAGCACCGGCUAACUACGUGCCAGCACG